ensembl:lncRNA
AGAGCCCCUGUUCUCAUGAGGCCUCUGCAAAUAUAGACGUGCUCAGGCAGGAUCCUGGCCUCUGUCUGAGUCCACUAGCUUUUAACUCUGGACACAAGUUCUAGGUUUCUGAAAGGGAGGGAAAGCCAGGGAGAGGCUUAGAGUGUUUAUCAACCCUAUUAUGUUCAUAAUCUGAUUUAUUCCUAAAAGCAGUCCUGUGAGGUGCUUGGUUGGUUUUUUAAGCAGAUGCGGAAACUGAGCCAGAUAGAUCAGAUCCUGAGAUCUGGUGUCCGGUGGGGAAGCUCCUGCAUGGUUCCUGGACAGCAGGCAUUUAUGUGGUCUCUGGGCCUCCUCUGGCCCCAGCCCCGGGCAGUGGAUGGUGCGGAGGGCUGUAAACAGAGUCUCCUGGGGUUGGAGGGACUCUGUGUUCUCGGCCCCUUCACCCACUGGCAAAGCCUCAGGUCCUUGCCUGGGAGCUUGGAAGCUUUUCCCCAUGGGGCGGGAGGCAGGAGGAAGUGGUGGGCCAGGCACGGGGCUCUCAAGGGCCGCGUGAUCAGGUUGCAAUUAGCCUCCCACUGCAGGAAGGGCGUGGGCGAGCGCUGUGACAAGCGCCUGCCUGCCGUGCGCAGCGCCUGUGAUGCUCCAGAUGCCCCUGAGAAGGCGAGCGCGAGUCUGCCUGAGCAGCCUCUGGCACCAGAGACAGAAUGGAGGCGCACCGGACUCUGCUACUGGGUCCCUCCCCGCACCCUGCCCCCCCUUAUCUGCACGUGAAUGAAAGGGAGCCCGCACCCUCCAAAAAGCGAUUCUGAGUUGAGGGCUGUAUGCUCCCUGCCUAAGGAAUGCUUGUGGGAUGGGUGGAUGAGAGCGGCCAUGGGGGCCUCCCAAACUCUGGCCCCAGGUAAUCAGGCUGUAUUCAAGGGUCUACUCAUGCCCUUGUUGGUUAGAGAAAACUUUUCUGGAAUAUUUUCUCUGCAAAUGUAUCAAGGGAAUUAGCCACGGAUUUCUUCCCUGCACCCUCUCUCUGAUGUUAGCUGUUAGCUUCUGUUCGCCUUGUGUGAAGGAGACAGGACAAUUAGUCUAGAGGCUUCCCUGUCACCACCCUCCCCUGGCCCCAGUCUGCCUGGGGGCUGGGAGGGCACCAGGGAGCAGAGCUGGCGGACUCUUGCACACGCCUUGCCUGUUGUUUCUGAAAGUCCUGUGAGGGUGUAGGUUAGGAACUGCUCUCCCCAUUGAACAGAUAAGAAAACUGAGGCCCUGGGGAAUUACAUGCUCAUCUGAGGGCCACCCAGGGAACGAGGCAGAACCAGCUUGAGCACCCAUAACAAGUACUAGACCAGUGUUCUUUCCACCACUCUUAUGUUCUGUGACCUCUUCUGAGAUCUGAAGCUAAAAGCAGAACCUGGUGACAAGAGGGAACCACUGGCACAGACAGCCCCAGAAGGUCACAGUGCCUGUUGAGGCAGCCCUUCAAGGAGUGGUAUUGACAGUCUCCUGGCCAUACCAGCCAGGUGGCUUGAGGUAGCAUCCUCCUGCCAGAAAGAGUACAAGCUGAGCUCAGCACCAACUGCUCAGGGAAGCCAGCUGGACAGCUUCAGGCAAGACUGGCUCAGAUUGAUUGCUCUUCGCAAGGGGGACUGUACGCCCCUUAUAGUCAUAGAGCUGCCUGCAAGGAUGGAGUUAGGAAAGAGCUUUGACACCCCCGCUGCCCCAGCCUCCACAUCUGUCAGACUUACUGCAGACAGAGCCCUGGUGGCUCGAGCCUCAGCUUGAGCCAGGCUGACCUGGGCUUGAAUCCCACCUGCCCUUCUGGGCUGAGUCACUUUGGACCCAUCAAUCCAUUGGUCCCCAAUCCUCGGUCUCUUCAGUUGUGAAAUGGACACAGAAGCAGCCACCUCUCCAAGGUCUUGUGAGGGUCAAGAGGAUGAAUGUGACAUGCCUGAUGGUAACGUGCUUAGCAGUAGAAUUGUUUUAAGUAGCACAUUACGUGUGCCCUGCAAGCUCCAAUUCUGACCCUCAGGCUGGGUGGGCAGUCCCACUGUGGCUGACAGAUGGCCCUGUGACCCUGCCCUUCCCCUUGCCAGGCUCCCUGGGUGCCCGCACCUCUGUUGGCAUCAGCCAGGGGAGGCCCAGAGGCUUUAGGGAGGAAGGGCAAAUGGAAAUGGUGCACAAGAAGGCCGAUCAUAUUAAGAUCCAGCUGCACUUAAGCGUCUCCUGGGAAGUGCUUUAGACGAAGCUGAGGAGUGCUCCCAGAUGCCAAAGUGGCCUCACAUCGAGGUUCUGUCACUCUCGGCAGCCCGACCACAUGCUCCCCAAGUAAUUGGUCUCCUAAUGCAUCGGCCCUGGCCUGGUUCCAUGCCAAUUCCCACAUGGGAUCAGUUCAUGAUGUUUCCCAGCCGGGUCAGCGGGUCACAGACCAGAGUGACGCACCCCUGCCCGUUGCGUUGUUUUCUUGUCCCUGCAGGCCGUUUCUAGAUUCUGUACAGAACGCCAUGGCCUGGAAGAGUAAACAAGAUUUCCAGGCUGGGAUUCUGCUGAAGACCAGGGCUUUUAUGUCCAGAAAUUGUGUGUUAGAUGCAGAGGGACCAUAUAAAAGAAAGACACGAUUCUCUCCUAUAGCAGAUAGAAGUAAACCAGCAUGGCUUUGAUUUUCUUCCUCAAAAUUAGUUUUUAUUCCUAACUACAAAAGGAUCAGGUGUUCUUUGCAAGAAAUUUAAAAGAAAGAUGAAAGGAAAAAGGAAAAUCAUUCGUAACUUUAUACCAGAGAUGACAACUCUUCACAUUUUGCAGUGAAUUUUUUUCCUACACAUUUAUACAGUUAAAAAAAUAAAAGCAACUUCACACUGAACUCAUCAUCUUGUAGCCUUUUUGCUACUUGUUUUUUUGAUUGGUGUAUGAAAUUAGUUGUUGUUCCCUAAGGUGAUGUUGAGUGUCUGCAUAAAAUUGUAUAGAGUUGUGUCAUUAUGUAACCAGUCGUAUUGUGUUGGAUAAUUCAAUGGUUGAUGAGCUUGGAGUUGUUUUUUGUUAUUAGUAACCAUUCUGUUGACUUUGGAAAUCAUGAGAGUGGAUGUGGAUGGUGGGAAGCAGGGUUGGUGGUAUAGCUAAGAGUCCAGAAUUUAGUCUCAGUCAGACCGCAUUCAAAAAAUAAAAGAACAGGUAAUUAAUAUUUUUAUAGAGGCAGAAAUGGCACCAGGCACUGUGUUAAGUGCUUUACGUAUGUUAACUCAUGAUUUAUGAAUCCACACAAGAGCCCAUGGACUAGGCACUAUUUUUAUCCCCAUUUUUCAAUUGAUGAAAUUGAAACAGUGCCCCCUCCACUUAUGCAGCCAUCACGUGGCUAAACCGUUGUGCACAUGUAUGAUUGUUUGUUAUAAUGCAUUCCUGAAAGUGGGGUCCUGGCCCAGAUUCAGAAGGCUCUACAUAUUUUUAAGUCCUUGAGUGUUGUAUGCCAAUAAUGAGCCAGGCUGGUGUUCUAGAAAUCUCCUCUCCUUGAAGGAGAGGCUGUCCCAUGCCCAGCAUGGAGGAAGCCAGCACUCAGUACAUCUUAGCCAGUGCUGGCACUGUUCUGUUCUGAGUCAUUCAUUGAGAAGACAAGACACACACUUGAGGAACCUCCAUAUCAAGGGGUCCUGACAGUGAGGCUAUAGGCCUUGGAGGGACAUGGGACAGCACUGGCAGUGGUGGUCAGGGAAGACCGCAUGGUGCAGGAGGCUCUUGGAGAAUCAGGAGGGGGACCCUGAAGUGACAGCCCGAUGGCUCCUGAGCAGUGGAGCCCUAGGUGGUUUGUGUCCAGGGCUUGUGUCGGGAGUGUUGCGCUGGAGAAGAGAUGGUGAGAGGAAGAUGAGCCCAGAUCAGGCUCGGGAGUCCUGAUCUGGGAGGCAGAGGGCUCUGGUGCUGGGGAGCUUCUGAGGGCUGAAACUUAGGAAAACUUAGGAGGGAAGGAGGGGGUAGGACUAGAGGUGGGGAGACCAGUGGAGACCAGGACGGGAGCCCAGGCAGAGAGACCUGCGUGUGUGGCCUGGUAGGGUCCUCUGGGAGUGGUGAGGAAAAAAGAUGGGUUUCCUGGUGCCGGAACACCCCUUCUUGCCGUGAGCACUGAAGCAAAAGAAAAACAGACACAGGACUCAGCUGUGAGGUCAAAAUAUUUGACAGAGCUGGAUGGGAGACCUUGGCUUCCAUCCAUGACCACAGUCAGGCUCCUGAUACUCGCUCAGCAAGCCUGGGCCUCGGGGCACCCUGUUCAAGGAAACAGCCAGCUGCCAGGAGAGUCACUGUCAGGCCCGCUGCACCUGCUCGUGGAGAGCAGAGGCAGUGGCCCUUCCUGGUACCCUCCCUCCCAGGCGGGGGACCCAGGAGCCGAGCAGCACGCACACUCUCUGUGGGCAGGCAGACCUGAAAGUGGGCAGGGAAGGGAUUCCCCAUCCCCCAACCCACUCCCUUCUCCCAAGCUCCCCUCUCAGAGAAGGGGGUCAGGGCACUCCGGGGAGCAUUGCCAGUAUUCUGCCCUCCCACAACUGCCUGCUGUGUGCCUUCCUCGUUGCCACUAAGGUAGGAGAUGCUGGCCCCUCCCCCACGCUGUCAUCCUGCCCCAUCCAGGAUCAUUUGGAGGAAAGGCUGCCAGGGAUCUGCCAGGUGGGCAAGUGUCCACGUGUCCAUUCCGAUGCCAUGUGGACCCGGUUCUAGAGCCCACUCCUCCACUCCCUGCUGCGUGACCGUUGGCAAAUCUCUUAGCCUGCGUUUCUACCCCUAUGAAACGGGGCUGUAAGAAUUGAGUGUGACAGUAUGGCUCUGUCUCGGUUAUGAGUAGCUGUUACCAUCAAAUAAUGCAAUGGGAAGGCAAGUCCCCCAACCGGCGGGCUCGGGGCAGACCUCACUGCGAUGGAGAUAGAGUGGCUGCCAUGUAGACCCAUCAAGAACAACGCCUUGGGGGAGAGAGGGCCCGGCAUGGCCAAGAGAGACCGGAAAGGCAGGUGUACAGGGGCCUUUGCGGAGGCGGAAGGGAGGAAGUGUGGGAAGGGACCAGAUUCUGGGGUGUCCCCACAGCAGGGUUGGGAGGAGGGAAGGGGGGCCAGGGAAGAGCCAGAGAAAGGAGAAUGUUUGUCCCAACACUCCCAUCCAAAGCCCCUACAAAGCCCUAGAUUCUUUCCGCUCUCACCUGGGAGCAACGCAGAGUGACCCGUGUCCCAGGUUAAAAGGUGAGUAUGCAGUCAGGCCUCGGACAGGCAGCCCCUGGGCACUGGGGCCGUGGGGUUCCAGCAUCAGGACAGAGUCCUGUCUCUGGCCCCUGGUUUUCCUAUCUGCGGAAUGCAGAGGCUGAACACAUUUAAUGUUUUUUGUAGCAGUUUUGUCCACAAUUCAUGGUAAUUAAAAAAAAAAGUUUGCCUCCCCCCACAUUUUACUAACACUGAAGCUUCAUGACAUAAAGCAUGUGUCUUCAUCACGUGUGUCUUCUCUGGGGUUUUCUGCUGUGCAUCCUUAAAAAAACACCGGUCGUGGCCCCCUACCUAAUGUGGUGGCCCCCUAACGAGUCCUGCCCCUUGCUCUGAACGCUGACCCAGCUCAUGUGGAAGGUUCCUUCCUGCUCUGGCAGCCUGCAGUUCUAGUCCAUUUCCUCUGGCCUCAUGACCCCCAUCAGCCAAGCCUUUGUGGUUUUCUUCUUGGUAUCUUCAAACGGUAAUUUCAGCUCGGGAGGGAGACCAGACCGAAGCUGCUCCCAGUGCCUUCCCACCUCCUGGGAGGUCCUGGCCUGUCCACUCUCUGCUGGGCGCUCUCUGCUCUGCCUCGAGUGCCUGGCGUCCGUGGGUGGGGAGGGGCCCCUGUGCCUUCUCCCGCCUUCCCCACGGGACAAGGAGUGGGUCGGAUGUAAUCCCCACUCCUCUUGCCACCCCCCCACCCCUGACUCCUGCCUGGGCCAGAGGACACCCGUCUUCUCUCUAGUUGAAGUGGAGCCUGGCUUCUCAUUGGAAUUCCAGACUCUUCUCCAGGCCCAGCCUCUUCACCCCGUCCCUCCUCACACUGAACCGGGCUGGUCCAGGAGUCACCAUCGUGGAAGCUGCUUAUGGAUGAUGAGAUGAGCUUGGGCAAUGACAAACCUGGGUGCAAAUCUCAGUUCCAUCUCUGCCUGGCUGUGUGGCCUUGGGAAAGUUCCCUAACAUCUCUGAGCCUGAAUCCUCAACUAGGGUUUAGAGAGAGUAACCCCUGUCUAGGAGGAUAAACUUGAGGGUGAGAGGUACAGAGUGCUUUGUGUUGGUGCCUGGCCUGAGGCAGAUGCUUGGGAAAACUCAUUCCUUUAAAUCCCAUCCCCUUGGGUGUCCUUGUGACAGCUAGAGAAAUGGCUGCUGUUGUCACCUCGUAGAAGGAAGGGGGAGAUGCCUUCCACGGGCCCGUUAUUGGGUGCGGGGCGGGGGGGGGCAACGUUGAGGAGAAGCUGCUUUAAGUGGGCUGUUCUGGGAGUGACCCCUUCCACCCCAACGUGCCCCAAAUGUGCAGAGACUGGGGUGUGGCCUGUACCUUGUGUCUGCUGGGCAGCCUGAGACAGUGUCUGAGGAGGGAGACACGAAGGGACCAUGGAGAAUGGACUCCCCGGGGCCCCAGAGGGGGACAGUGGCUUUUCACAAGGAUGCUGGUGUGUGCCAGCUCAAGGCCAGGCGCUCAACAGGCCACAACGACAGGGCAUCAUUUCAACCUGAUUUUUUUGGACUCCAUUUAGAAAUUGACCCUCCUGCAGGGCACGUUUUGCCCCAGUAUGCUCUCAUAAAAGAAUCUGGUUUGAUCCUCAUAACUGCCACCCCGGGAGAAGGACAGGGCAGGCACAAGGCCUCCACAUUCACCGGGUAGCGAGAAGGAGUUUCUAGCAAACACUAGAUCCAGGGUAUCCAAGCAGGCAGUCUGGAUGUGCCGUUUGCCUCUUCUCGUGCUGUUAACCCCUUACCAAGGCUGUGUGAACGUCAUCUUUAUGGGUUGUCUUCAGAGCCCACAGCACUUCCCUUUUGCUACCUCCCCACCCCCACUGUGAUGGUAAUUAUUGACAGAUCCAUAUAUUGGCUCAGAUCCAGAUGAUUCUGGGUCUGAGCCAAGCUGGGGACAGGCACGUGGGCGCCUCUGUCUUCAGGGACUGCUGUUCCUGGGCAGCUGCUCCCAGAACAUGGAAAGCUGUUCCUCCCAGGGCUCCUGUGCCCAUUGGCACUUGAAUGCUGUAGGCAGCAGGGCUCUGAUAGCCGAGGUGACUCGCCCAAAGUCACAGCUCCAACAGCAAAGCCCUUCGCAAGGCUGCCUGCUGCAGCGGGGUCUUGGCACUGCCUCGGAAAGCCUCUGCCCCCUUGCCUCUGUGUUCCUGGCCGGCUCCUGCUGCCCUCGCUCUGUUUUGCUAAUAACCAGAAGAUCUCCUUCCCAGGCAGAGGCGCUUUAACCUUGGAACAUAAAUAAGUUCCUGUGGGUUGCUUUAAGGAACACAUGGGGCUGGCUCGUGGUUCAGUAGAGACUGUGAAAUUUCUCAGGAUCUGAGGUUACAAGCGCUGCCUUAUCCAUACCAGCUGGGGCAUGUCGUUGGGCCUCAGUUUUCCAGCCUACAUGUGAGGGCCAGCACCAGAGAGAACCGUUCCAGAGAACCUGUCCUUGCAGAGGGCAGUGAGGCUGGACCAAAGUUCAGGACUGGUGGAGUCAGUGGGUUAAGAACCCGACUAGUAUCCAUGAGGAUGCGGGUUUGAUCCCUGGCCUUGCUCAGUGGGUUAAGGAUCCGGUGUUGGCGAAAGCUGCAGUGUAGGUUGCAGAUGCAUCUCCAAUCUGGCUUUGUUGUGGCUGUGGUGUAGGUCAGCAGCUGCAGCUCUGAUUCGACCCCUAGCCUGGGAACUUCCAUAUGUUGCAGGUGUUCCCAAAAAAAAAAAAAAAAAAAAAA